rnacentral:lncRNA from 15 species
GUGACAUCUUUCUCAGGGAGAGAGAAAGUUGUGCAUCUUCCAGAUAGGCCGGAAGUCUCUCUCUCUCUCUCUCUCUCUCUCUCUCUCUCUCUCGCUCUCUCUCUCUCUCUCUCCCCCCCCCUCUCUCUUUCUGCACUCUAGCCUGUUACAGAGUCAUUUUGUCCAGCCUCUCCCACUCAUCACUACUGCAGUGUCUCAGUGCCUCAGUCUCUGACCUUCCACAGGCACCAUGCAAGCAUUUGCUCCCAGGUUGUAUCUGACCCCAGUGAGGGAUGAAGAAGCGGAGUCUCAGAGGAAAGCAAAGUCUCGUCAUGCCAGACAGACCCGCAGGUCAACACAGGUAUUGUAGAGAACAAAUUAUUUACAGAAGUUUAGGUUUUAUGGGAUUUUGUUUGACUCUUGACGGAUAUUAGGUUGUAUGUCCUGCAGGGUGUGACUCUGACAGACCUGAAAGAGGCUCAGAAGACCAUUAGUCUGGCUCCUCAAGACAGACAGAUGGAGGAAGGAGACACUCUGGAUGAAAGGUCCUGUCUGAGGAAAGGCUUGACAGAUGACAGGAGAGUAAUAAUCGGCCUGACAGAGUCCACGGAAACAACAGAGAUAAGUCCAAAAUGGAGUAAAAUGGACGAGCAGGGGAACAUUGAACCCAGGUUAGAAACCCUCACUGAGUCUUCAAUACCAAACCUUUCAUAUUCGUCUGUUGCUGGAUCCUGUGGUCUGACUUACUGCAACAACUCAUUCAGAGCUGGUGAGAGAUGGUGGAGAGAUGAAAAUCAGAACCCUGUUGAAGAUGCAGCACAGCUCAGCUUAGCUACAAAGCAGCAACAGAGACGACACUGCUACGAUGUCGAAGGUUCAGACUUCAACACUGCGGAGGUACGUGGAAACUACUGUGCUCUUUUAACAGUCACAUAAAAAAAAGAUGAUUUCAGCCACUCUGCUUGGUGGCAAUCUAUUUCCUGUUGUUUUCCCAUAGGGCCACUAGAUGGAGCCAAAAGACUUUGAUAUUUUAUCUUUUCAUGCCUAAAGAACUGAGUAUUUACAGUUCACUUGAUACAAACUACGCUCGAAUACAUUGAGAUCCUUUGAGAAUAUGUUUCUAAAUUUAAGUGUGCUCAUGACAUACUUUGGUUAUCGUCAACAAAGUAAAAAUGAUCUCUAUUUGUGAC